rnacentral:rRNA from 1 species
GUGGGGAAUAUUGGACAAUGGGCGAAAGCCUGAUCCAGCCAUGCCGCGUGUGUGAAGAAGGUCUUCGGAUUGUAAAGCACUUUAAGUUGGGAGGAAGGGCAGUAAGUUAAUACCUUGCUGUUUUGACGUUACCGACAGAAUAAGCACCGGCUAACUUCGUGCCAGCAGCCGCGGUAAUACGAAGGGUGCAAGCGUUAAUCGGAAUUACUGGGCGUAAAGCGCGCGUAGGUGGUUUUGUAAGUUGGAGGUGAAAUCCCCGGGCUCAACCUGGGAACUGCCUCCAAAACUGCAUGACUAGAGUACGGUAGAGGGUAGUGGAAUUUCCUGGGUAGCGGUGAAAUGCGUAGAUAUAGGAAGGAACACCAGUGGCGAAGGCGACUACCUGGACUGAUACUGACACUGAGGUGCGAAAGCGUGGGGAGCAAACAGGAUUAGAAACCCGGGUAGUCC